rnacentral:rRNA from 1 species
GGGCCCGCACAAGCGGUGGAGCAUGUGGUUUAAUUCGAUGAUACGCGAGGAACCUUACCAGGGCUUAAAUGUAGAGCGACAGAGGUGGAAACACCUCCUUCUUCGGACGGUCUACAAGGUGCUGCAUGGUUGUCGUCAGCUCGUGCUGUGAAGUGUCGGGUUAAGUCCCAUAACGAGCGCAACCCCUAUUUCUAGUUGCCAGCGGUUCGGCCGGGGACUCUAGAGAAACUGCCAGCGUAAGCUGUGAGGAAGGUGGGGAUGACGUCAAAUCAUCACGGCCCUUACGUCCUGGGCCACACACGUGCUACAAUGGUGGAGACAGAGAGUUGCCAACCCGCGAGGGUGAGCUAAUCUUCAAACUCCAUCUCAGUUCGGAUCGCAGUCUGCAACUCGACUGCGUGAAGCUGGAAUCGCUAG